UACGUAGGGUGCAAGCGUUAAUCGGAAUUACUGGGCGUAAAGCGUGCGCAGGCGGUUGUGCAAGACAGGUGUGAAAUCCCCGGGCUUAACCUGGGAACUGCACUCGUGACUGCACGGCUGGAGUACGGCAGAGGGGGAUGGAAUUCCGCGUGUAGCAGUGAAAUGCGUAGAUAUGCGGAGGAACACCGAUGGCGAAGGCAGUCCCCUGGGCCUGUACUGACGCUCAUGCACGAAAGCGUGGGGAGCAAACAGG
rnacentral:rRNA from 1 species